rnacentral:rRNA from 1 species
CUUGGCGACCAUAGCGCUUUGGACCCACCUGACUCCAUGCCGAACUCAGUAGUGAAACGAAGCAGCGCCGAUGGUAGUGUGGGGUCUCCCCAUGUGAGAGUAGGACAUCGCCAGGU